rnacentral:rRNA from 1 species
UGGGGAAUAUUGCACAAUGGGCGAAAGCCUGAUGCAGCAACGCCGCGUGAGUGAUGAAGGCCUUCGGGUUGUAAAGCUCUGUCUUUUGGGACGAUAAUGACGGUACCAAAGGAGGAAGCCACGGCUAACUACGUGCCAGCAGCCGCGGUAAUACGUAGGUGGCAAGCGUUGUCCGGAUUUACUGGGCGUAAAGGAUGCGUAGGCGGAUUUUUAAGUGAGAUGUGAAAUACCCGGGCUUAACUUGGGUGCUGCAUUUCAAACUGGGAAUCUAGAGUGCGGGAGAGGAGAAUGGAAUUCCUAGUGUAGCGGUGAAAUGCGUAGAGAUUAGGAAGAACACCAGUGGCGAAGGCGAUUCUCUGGACCGUAACUGCGCUGAGGCAUGAAAGCGUGGGUAGCAAACAGGAUUAGAUACCCUGGUAGUCCACGCCGUAAACGAUGAGUACUAGGUGUAGGAGGUAUCGACCCCUUCUGUGCCGCAGUUAACACAAUAAGUACUCCGCCUGGGAAGUACGAUCGCAAGAUUAAAACUCAAAUGAAUUGACGGGGUC